UGCGGAUUGGUGUAAUGGUAGCACAACAGACUCUGACUCUGUUUGUAUAGGUUCGAAUCCUAUAUCCGUAG
rnacentral:tRNA from 1 species